GCCUUCGUGGUGUAAUGGUCAGCAUGCACAACGAGUAACCAAGAGGUCCGUGGUUCGAGUCCCGGUGAAGGCG
rnacentral:tRNA from 1 species